UACGAAGGGGGCUAGCGUUGCUCGGAAUCACUGGGCGUAAAGCGCACGUAGGCGGAUCUUUAAGUCAGGGGUGAAAUCCUGGAGCUCAAUUCCAGAACUGCCUUUGAUACUGGGGAUCUCGAGUCCGGAAGAGGUGAGUGGAACUCCGAGUGUAGAGGUGAAAUUCGUAGAUAUUCGGAAGAACACCAGUGGCGAAGGCGGCUCACUGGUCCGGUACUGACGCUGAGGUGCGAAAGCGUGGGGAGCAAACAGG
rnacentral:rRNA from 1 species